GACGUCAUGAUGGAGGAUCACCGGCCCCUCACAUCACCAGGUAGAUCCAGUAAGAUAACAACACCAGAGAGAUGUCCCAGUCCUCUUCUUCCACAGAAUGGUUCAGAAGAACAUCACAAUGUCCCACAGGAUGAUCAGCUUGUGAAUCCGGGUGAAGAUCUGAACACUAUAUAUGUUAC